rfam:Oryza barthii chromosome 8, whole genome shotgun sequence.
UUCAAGUGCAACCAUAAGUUUUCGUACCCAAUUUUAAUCGUCCGUCUUAUUUAAUUUUUUUAUAAUUAGUAUUUUUGUUGUUAUGAGAUAAUAAAACAUUAAUAGUACUUUAUUCGUGACUUAUGUUUUUAUUUUUAAAUAAUUUUUUUUAAAUGAGACGAACGAUUAAAGUUGGGUGUGGAAAACUAUAGCUACACUUGAA